rnacentral:misc_RNA from 1 species
GGGAACAGGAAAAUGAGUACUGACAAAACACCGAUAAAUAGACGAAAAGCAAUCAGGGAGAGGAAGAUGGCAUUGUUACAAGAUGUUGAUAAGUUGAAGAAGAAACUUAGGCAUGAGGAAAAUGUGCAUAGAGCUCUUGAAAGGGCGUUUACUCGACCACUCGGUGCACUUCCUCGUCUUCCUCCUUAUCUUCCUCCAAGUACACUGGAGCUUCUUGCUGAGGUAGCUGUUUUGGAGGAGGAAGUCGUUAGGCUCGAAGAGAAAGUUGUGCAUUUCAGGCAAGGAUUGUAUCAUGAAGCUGUGUAUAUUUCGUCCUCCAAGAGGAAUAUGGAUAAUGUGACUGAUACUGUUGAGCAAAAUCAAGUAAAGAGUCCGAAGCAGAAGCAAACGAAGCUAUCGCCCCAACUAGAAUCGAAUUCAGCUUCAUUCUCGGGAAGACAUUUGCCUUCUCUCUCUGAUGACAGCUGCUUAAAAGAGAAUCACUCAUUGUCAUCCACGAAAAGCAAGCAUCGAUCAGUAAAUGCGAAAGUGAAAACUGCCAGAACACCUGUUAAGAAGCUUCC